GAUGAACGCUGGCGGCGUGCCUAAUACAUGCAAGUCGAGCGAACAGACGAGGUGCUUUCUCCUCUGACUUUAUCGGCGGCCGAGUGAUUAACACGACGAUAACCUCCCUAUCCGUCUUGGAUAAUUUCCGCAAACAGGUGCUACUACUGCAUAAUAUAUUGAACCGCUUGGUUCAUUAGUGAAAGACGGUUUUGCUUUCACUUAUAGAUGGACCCGCGCCGCAUUAGCUAGUUGGUAGGGUAAUGGCCUACCAAGGCAACGAUGCGUAGCCGACCUGAGAGGGUGAUGGGCGACACUGGUACUGAGACGCGGUCCAGACGCCUACUGGAGGAAGCAGUAGGGAAUAAUCCGGCAUGGGCGGAAGCCUGACGGUGCAGCGCCGCGGGAGGGAUGAAGGUCUUCUGAUCGUAGAACUCUGUUAUUAGGAAUGAACAAGUGUGGAAGUAACUAUGCACGUCUUGACGGUACCUAAUCAGAAAGCCACGGCUAACUACGUG
rnacentral:rRNA from 1 species